rnacentral:misc_RNA from 1 species
UCCGAGUUGACCCCGGCAGUCUCCCAUGAGUCCCCGGCAUAACCCGCUGGCAACUAAAGGCAGGGGUUGCGCUCGUUGCGGCACUUAAGCCAACACCUCACGGCACGAGCUGACGACAGCCAUGCAGCACCUGUGCUAGCCCCUUGCGGACACGGGCUUUCACCCGCUUUAACUAGCAUGUCAAGCCUAGGUAAGGUUCUUCGCGUUGCAUCGAAUUAAGCCACAUGCUCCACCGCUUGUGCGGGCCCCCGCCAAUUCCUUUGAGUUUCAACCUUGCGGCCGUAGUCCCCAGGCGGUUCGCUUAAUGCGUUAGCUGCGGCACCGAGGGGAACCCCCCAACACCUAGUGAACAUCGUUUAUGGCUAAGACUAC